rnacentral:rRNA from 1 species
UACGUAGGGGGCAAGCGUUUGUCCGGAUUUAUUGGGCGUAAAGAGCGUGUAGGCGGCCAAGCAGGUCCGCUGUGAAAACUCGAGGCUCAACCUCGAGACGUCGGUGGAAACCGUUUGGCUAGAGUCCGGAAGAGGAGAGUGGAAUUCCCGGUGUAGCGGUGAAAUGCGCAGAUAUCGGAAGGAACACCAGUGGCGAAAGCGGCUUCCUGGUCCAGCACCGACGUCAGGCACGAAAGCGUGGGGAGCAAACAGG